rnacentral:rRNA from 1 species
CUUGGUCAUUUAGAGGAAGUAAAAGUCGUAACAAGGUCUCCGUAGGUGAACCUGCGGAGGGAUCAUUAACGAACGAUCAUCCUUGAUCUUCCUACCCUCAAACCACUGUGGACAUGAGACGUGCUUCGGCGUCGUGAGGCGCCGCCUUUAUGCUCAAAGCCCUUCAAUGUCUGUCAUGAAUGAAAAAUGUCAAAACUUUCAACAAAGGAUCUCUUGGCUCUCGCAUCGAUGAAGAACGUAGCAAAGCGCGAAAUGUAGUGUGAAUUGCAGAACAUUGUGAAUCAUCGAAUCUUUGAACGCACAUUGCACCUCCCGCAGGGGAGGUAUGCCUGUCUGAGCGUCAUUGAAACCAAUAAACCCCAUCGUGGGUUUGUGCUGGGCCCCGCACAGGUGUGCGCCGCCUCAAAGCCAUGGUCUAACCUGCGGACGAGCUCCUCUAGGACCUGCCGUGGGUCGACCCCCCUCUCUCUGAAUUUGACCUCAGAUCAGGUAGGAAGACCGCCUGAACUUAAGCAUAUCAAUAAGCGGAGGA